rnacentral:tRNA from 1 species
GCCAUCUGAAGCGCCGUGAUCCUGGUCGCCACACCCCUGAUCCUCCAUGGUAAGGAGGGGGCCGGCGGUUCGAGUCCGCCAGAGGGCU